CCUCUCUCAGGAUCGCACCUGGGGAGUUUCCAGUCCUCUACCAGUCUCGGCUAUGGGAGGGAGAGGCAAGCAGAGGCCUACCUGUUCCAUUCCUAGCUUGGACAGUGACUAGUGAGUGGUAGGCAAUCUGCUAUAAGU
rfam:Ornithorhynchus anatinus chromosome 4, whole genome shotgun sequence.